AUUGAACGCUGGCGGCAGGCCUAACACAUGCAAGUCGAACGAGUGGCGGACGGGUGAGUAAUGCCUGGGAAACUGCCUGAUGGAGGGGGAUAACUACUGGAAACGGUAGCUAAUACCGCAUACCAUCGGAUGUGCCCAGAUGGGAUUAGCUAGUUGGUGGGGUAACGGCCCACCAAGGCGACGAUCCCUAGCUGGUCUGAGAGGAUGACCAGCCACACUGGAACUGAGACACGGUCCAGACUCCUACGGGAGGCAGCAGUGGGGAAUAUUGCACAAUGGGCGCAAGCCUGAUGCAGCCAUGCCGCGUGUGUGAAGAAGGCCUUCGGGUUGUAAAGUCCUUUCGGCGGGGAAGCGUUACCCAAAGAAUAAGCACCGGCUAACUCCGUGCCAGCAGCCGCGGUAAUUC
rnacentral:rRNA from 1 species